rnacentral:rRNA from 1 species
UUAAAAUGUUAAUAUAUAAAACUAAAGUAGUAGUAGUUAUGUUCUUUAAAUUUAAAGAUUUUGGCGGUAUUUUAGUCUAUUCAGAGGAACCUGUUCUAUAAUUGAUAGUCCACGAUUAACUUUACUUAAAUUUAAAAGUUUGUAUAUCGUUGUUUAUAGAAAAUUUUUUAAGAAAAAUAAUUUUUAAUAAAUUUAAUUAAAUUAUAAAUCAAAUCAAGGUGCAGUUUAUAUUUAAGAAGAAAUGGGUUACAAUAAAAUUAUUUAAAUGGAUUUAAAUUUUAAAAAAUUUAAUGAAGGUGGAUUUGAUAGUAAUUUUAUUAAUUUAAAUAAAGUGAUUAUAGCUCUAUAAUAUGU